rnacentral:misc_RNA from 1 species
UUUGCAACAUCUUCCUCAUCAAUUGCAGCUGCCAAAUCCACUAGCAAUUUGCAUUCACGUGUCCCUGAAAAUGUUGGAUCCAGCUCCUGAUAUCGCUCCAACGCAUUGUUGAUUGCAACAACAUCACCUUUACAAAGUUGGCAAAUACCAGCAUUAAGAAGAUGUCCUCUAACUCCAUACUUCAACAAGUUGUUAUUGACUGAGUGACGUGCAAUCUCCUCAAAGAUCUCGAUCGCUCUCGGAUAUUUCUCGAUUUGAGCAGAGAAUUGUGCAACUUUCUGUUUGCAUUGAUUUGCAGUUGUAGUUACAUCUUCACUCUGGAAAAGAUCAGCUGCCUUCUCAUAGUAAUUAAUAGCCUGAUCCAAAUUUUGCUCUUGCUCAUAUAAUUCA